CAUUAUUGAAAUAAACCUGAUGGGUUGCUGCUGGCUCUCUAGGGAGCAUGUGCACACUUGUCAUCUUUAUAUCUCCACCUGUGCACCUUUUGUAGAUCUGGAUAUUUUUCUGAAUGCUUGCCAUUCAGGUUUGAGGAUUGACUUUUGUCUUUCCUUACAUUUCCAGGCCUAUGUUUUCUUCAUAUACACCAUUUAUGUUGUAGAAUGUAAUGAAAAGGGCCUUUGUGCCUACAAACCUUAUACAACUUUCAGCAACGGAUCUCUUGGCUCUCGCAUCGAUGAAGAACGCAGCGAAAUGCGAUAAGUAAUGUGAAUUGCAGAAUUCAGUGAAUCAUCGAAUCUUUGAACGCACCUUGCGCUCCUUGGUAUUCCGAGGAGCAUGCCUGUUUGAGUGUCAUUAAUAUAUCAACCUCCUCAGGCUUUGACUUGUCGAGUGUUUGGAUGUGGGGGUCUUUUGCUGGUCUCUUUUGAGGUCGGCUCCCCUAAAAUGCAUUAGCGGAACAAUUUGUUGACCCGUUCAUUGGUGUGAUAACUAUCUACGCUUUUGACGUGAAACAGGUUCAGCUUCUAACAGUCCAUUGACUUGGACAAAUUUUCAUUAAUGUG
rnacentral:rRNA from 1 species